UUCACAUAAUACAUAUCACACAUCUUUGUUUAACACAAGCAAAAAAACAAUGGCCAAAGUUUUCUUUGUCACUUUUGUUCUCUUAGUUUUGGUCUUUUCUCCCGCCCUUGAGAUGUCCGAUGCCACUAGGGUGGGUCGCGAACUGCUACAAGGCGGACCAAUUUGUCCUGCUUGCGUAUGUUGCUCUCCCGCACCAUCACCUGAUAAAUGUUGCCCUUGUGUCUGCUCUCCGCCACCUCCUAGGGCUUGAAAAUAUGUUUAUCAUAUAACACACUGUUAAAUAAGGAUUAGCUAACAAGCUAAUCAUGCCCAUGAAGUUAAAUUUACUUUUAUGUUCUCGUAAUUAUGUACACAUUGAUCAUGGUGUCGAUGGAUGAAUUCUCAAUAAUAACCUGGUGAAAUAAUUAUAUAUAUGGUUCCCC